rnacentral:lncRNA from 1 species
UGGCCUCCCAAAGUGUUAGGAUUAGAGGAAUGAGCCAUUGUGUCCAGCCAAAAUAAAUAUUUUAAGCAUGUAUAACUACUAAAGAGGGAUGCUGUGUAUACUGGAGGAUUUGCACCACAUUUCUGCUUGUAACAGCAACUCAUUUUUAGCGAGAAAUAAUUGAAUAAGCUCAAAGACCCUAAGAUCGGGGUGCUGAGAAGAGCCCAGGCAGCACAACAUGAGGACAGUGCUUUUCUUAUAAGAAAAGGGAAGAGAUAAAAAAGAUGGACAGAAAACAACAUAGAUGAUUUGGCAAAAUGAGAUAGAGGAGGAACUGUCUUCCAUAUGGGGAUAUACCAGUGAAGUCAGACCACAUUAACAGCAACAAAAAUCCAGAGUGGUAUACUUCCAUGUCCAUAUUAUUGGAAAAAAAUUCUUAACCAGUAAAAGCAUGGCACUGUGGAUUAAGUACCAGGCUAACAUCAAGGAAAUCAGGUGAUGAUAGCCUACUGUAUGUCCCCAGGCAGGAGCCAACACAUUUGCUGGUACAGAUGAGCUGCGUUCCUCACGGAGCACGGGCACAUCAAUUCUGGAACAGUCAGCCC